rnacentral:rRNA from 1 species
UACGUAGGGUGCAAGCGUUGUCCGGAAUUAUUGGGCGUAAAGAGCUCGUAGGCGGCUUGUCGCGUCGUCCGUGAAAACCUGCGGCUCAACUGCAGGCUGGCGGUCGAUACGGGCAGGCUGGAGUUCGGUAGGGGAGACUGGAAUUCCUGGUGUAGCGGUGAAAUGCGCAGAUAUCAGGAGGAACACCGGUGGCGAAGGCGGCCCCCUGGUUGGAUACUGACGCUGAGACGCGAAAGCGUGGGGAGCGAGUCCGG